AAACGUCCGACCGCCCAUCUCAAUGUCUAAAUUGGCUUUAGACAUCGACCCCACCCCGGACGCGAAAUGGCUCCGUAAAUGCCUCAUUUCCAGUGCCAAAAUUAAUUUUUUAAAGGCCUUAGAGAUGGUUGGGGAGGGGGCCGACUAGUAAGAUGAUUUAGACGUUGGACAGGAGGAGAACCUAAGUCUAAAGUCCUGUUUUUUUUACCCAUCCACGAGCAGCACUUACGCGAGCACUAUUCAUUUUCUUCCUUUGCGUUUCCCUCUUCUGCCAUUGCUAUAUAGUUCUUGAUGCGUUCUUGGUUGGCGAUUUUAGGACCAUAUUGUGCACCUUUUUUUGACGGUGGUGCAGCUUGCAAAACCUUUCAGAGUCCUCUAUUUCCCUCCAUUGUAUUUUCAACCCAUUAAGAAGGAUCAACGUCAUAAAAGACAGGUAUAACAGGUCUGGGCGAAGUUUGAACGCAGUUACGUAUCUCUGCCAGUUCACGCAAGCACCAGGUGGAGGAAGCAUAGUUCUUUGAGAAGACAAUAAUGAAAAGUCGAGAGCUUUGAAUAGCAUGGAGGAGCUCGGGUGCUAUGGAUUCACCUUUUUUGAGAUCUUCAUCAUCUUUGAAGGCAUGGAUGCCUUUUCUACGGAGAGCUUGAAAGAGAAAACCAGUGAAGUUGUUACGUGUGUCUUCACCACGGAAGCUCACAAAUACAUCGUAUCUGUUAAUUGCAUGAGAUGAAGAAGCAGUGUAUUGGACGAUGGCGUUGGAAGACAUUACUGAAAGCCAAAGUUGUUUAGAGAGAAGAGAAUUAUUGGAAUGACUGUGAAAAUGGAAAGUAAACAGUGAAGAAAUAUAAAUCCACCCAAGUCUUCGUGGGAGACUACAAGUCUAUUUCCAUCCUCUUUCUAUGAAGAUCAUAUAAAUUAUAUAAAAGCUCCUAUUUGUGA